rnacentral:rRNA from 1 species
GCCAGCGGCAACAGCACUUCGAAUGCACCGGUAAUGUGAAUCACUGAAGUUAAACAACGUUACGUGUGGUUAGUAUCCGGAUGGGUGACCAUUUGGGCAAUAACGUAGUGCUGGUU